rnacentral:rRNA from 1 species
AUUGAACGCUGGCGGCAUGCUUUACACAUGCAAGUCGAACGGCAGCAUGGGUGCUUGCACCUGAUGGCGAGUGGCGAACGGGUGAGUAAUGUAUCGGAACAUAUCCGCAAGUGGGGGAUAACGUAGCGAAAGUUACGCUAAUACCGCAUAUUCCCUGAGGGGGAAAGGAGGGGAUCCGCAAGGACCUUUCGCUUACGGAGUUGCCGAUAUCAGAUUAGCUAGUUGGUGAGGUAAAGGCUCACCAAGGCGACGAUCUGUAGCGGGUCUGAGAGGAUGGUCAGCCACACUGGGACUGAGACACGGCCCAGACUCCUACGGGAGGCAGCAGUGGGGAAUUUUGACCAAUGGGGGCAACCCUGAUCCAGCCAUGCCGCGUGAGUGAAGGAGGCCUUCGGGUUGUAAAGCUCUUUCAGCCGGAAAAAAAUCGCAUCACCUAAUACGUGGUGUGGAUGAUGGUACCGGAAGAAGAAGCACCGGCUAACUACGUGCCAGCAGCCGCGGUAA